GUGGUAACACACACUGGAGGACCGAACCGACUAGUGUUGCAAAAUUAGCGGAUGAGCUGUGGAUAGGGGUGAAAGGCCAAACAAAUCUGGAGAUAGCUGGUUCUCCCCGAAAACUAUUGAGGUAGUGCCUCGUGUGUCGCUCCAGGGGGUAGAGCACUGUUUUGGCUAGGGGGACAUGGAGUCUUACCAAACCAAGGCAAACUCCGAAUACCUGGAAGCGUAAGCACGGGAGACAGAGCACCGGGUGCUAACGUCCGGACUCAAAAGGGAAACAACCCAGACCGCCGGCUAAGGUCCCAAAUAACAGCUAAGUGGAAAACGAAGUGGAAAGGCCGUGACAACCAGGAAGUUGGCUUAGAAGCAGCCAUCCUUCAAAGAAAGCGUAAUAGCUCACUGGUCGAGUCCUUCUGCGCGGAAGAUGUAACGGGGCUAAGCUGUUAACCGAAGCCGCGGAUGCACUGGUUAUCCAGUGCGUGGUAGGGGAGCGUUCUGUAAGUCUGCGAAGGCGGUUCGAGAGGACUGCUGGAGAUAUCAGAAGUGCGAAUGCUGACAUGAGUAACGUUAAAGCGGGUGAAAAGCCUGCUCGCCGUAAGCCCAAGGAUUCCUGCUCUACGUUCAUCGGAGCAGGGUGAGUCGGCUCCUAAGGUCAGGCCGAAAGGCGUAGCCGAUGGGAAUCAGGUUAAUAUUCCUGAACCUGCGUCAGAUGCGAUGGGGGGACGGAGCAUGGAAGAUCAUCCGGGUGUUGGAAGUCCCGGUUGUUGAGCGUAGGAGGUCUGCAGGCAAAUCCGCAGACGCAUCUCCAAGGCAAAGACACGUGCCGCUACGGCGGCGAAGUGAUCGGAAGUGCUUCCAAGAAAAGCCUCUAAGCACCAGUCUGAUGCGGACCGUACCGCAAACCGACACUGGUGGGCGAGCUGAAUAUGCUCAGGCGCUUGAGAGAACUCGGGAGAAGGAACUCGGCAAAUUGACACCGUAACUUCGGAAGAAGGUGUGCCGUAGUACCGUGAGAGGAGAGACACCUUGAGCGGGAAACGGUCUCAGAGAAUAGGUGGUUGCGACUGUUUAUUAAAAACACAGCACUCUGCAAAGUCGAAAGACGACGUAUAGGGUGUGAUGCCUGCCCGGUGCUGGAAGAUUAAUUGAUGGGGUGAGAGCCCUUGAUCGAAGUCCCAGUAAACGGCGGCCGUAACUAUAACGGUCCUAAGGUAGCGAAAUUCCUUGUCGGGUAAGUUCCG
rnacentral:rRNA from 1 species